UACAGAGUUGGUUAAAUCCGCUCUUUUGCUCCCCGUUUACAUGGCUAAUAAUCUCCAAGCUGCUCUAAACGGUGUUGUUUGUGUGAAUAUUGUUUUCCAUAAAGUUAAUACCCCCCCCCCCCAAAACGAAAUAUGAAAUGACCUCUUCCCCUAUCGUUAAAGCGUGAGAUACAUUUUUAAAACCAGUGAUUUAAUUCAAAAUAUUUAGUACCUACAUUUUAACACAUGUUAUAAUUCCAAAUUAUGUGUCCGCUGUGCGGGGAAAAUGAUAAUACAAGCGGAACUACGUAGCUAAUACUGUUGUAACUGGGGAUCCUUAUUGUAGCAACACACUUUUGUAGGGAAGGCAAUCCUGCGCUGCGUUAGCUAAGUUUUCAUGUCAUCGGGUGUAGUUCAUAAAGGUUGAAGAGUGUAUGUUAGGAUGAAGUGUGAAUUCAUGCCAGGAAUAAUAAGUGUGAAGUUUGAUUUCCUCCCUUCUGUAAUAAGCAGCCAAUGAGUUCUCACUGAAGGGGAUAAUUCUCACUGAAACUACAGAAUAAAGCCGCCAGUUAAAAUCAUGGAACGGUUGUGCUCGUGGUUACUGAAGGGAGCUACAAGACCAUUAUUCGUUUCGAAUUCACCAACUCAAAGACGCUUGCCCGCUCCAUCAUAACUCCGUAAGUUUUCCCCUCCCUGUGUAGAUCAAACGUCCUGCCUGUAACUCCUGGGUAUGCCCCACAUCAUUAAUGAAUAAGAUGUGUAGAAAACUGUUUAGCCAUAGUUAAAGGCCUUUCAUAAAGAGCCUGUCAUGAUUGCAUGUCCCUUAUGUUUAAUACGUAUUGCUUGUUACAUAAUACUACUGUUGUACAUUUAAUAUCCCCUAGCAGAUUUCGUUGCCUUUGCACAAAUUCUGUCAUGUUACUGUGGUCUUUUUAAAAGUCAAUAAAAAUGUGUGUAAAGUGGC